GAUGAACGCUGGCGGCGUGCCUAAUACAUGCAAGUCGAGCGAAGCGGGGACGGGUGAGUAACACGUGGAUAACCUCCUAUAAGACUGGGAUAACAUCGGGAAACCGGAGCUAACCCGGAAACAUAUCGAAGGGUCCGCGCUGCAUUAGCUAGUUGGUAAGGUAACGGCUUACCAAGGCAACGAUGCAUAGCCGACCUGAGAGGAUGUUCGGCCACACUGGAACUGAGACACGGUCCAGACUCCUACGGGAGGCAGCAGUUGGGAAUCUUCCGCAAUGGGCGAAAGCCUGACGGAGCAACGCCGCGUGAGUGAUGAAGGUCUUCGGGUCGUAAAACUCUGUCAGUAGGGAAGCGGUACCUAAACAGAAAGCCCCGGCUAACUCCGUGCCAGCAGCCGCGGUAAUAC
rnacentral:rRNA from 1 species